rnacentral:rRNA from 1 species
GCGGGUGCUUACACAUGCAAGUCGAGCGGAAAGGCCUUCGGGGUACUCGAGCGGCGAACGGGUGAGUAACACGUGAGUAACCUGCCCUAGGCUUUGGGAUAACCCUCGGAAACGGGGGCUAAUACCGAAUAUUCAUGCUGGACGGCAGCGUUUGGUGUGGAAAGUUUUUCGGCUUGGGAUGGGCUCGCGGCCUAUCAACUUGUUGGUGGGGUGAUGGCCUGCCAAGGCGACGACGGGUAGCCGGCCUGAGAGGGCGACCGGCCACGCUGGGACUGAGACACGGCCCAGACUCCUACGGGAGGCAGCAGUGGGGAAUAUUGCACAAUGGGCGGAAGCCUGAUGCAGCGACGCCGCGUGAGGGAUGAAGGCCUUCGGGUUGUAAACCUCUUUCGACAGGGACGAAGCGCAAGUGACGGUACCUGGAGAAGAAGCGCCGGCCAACUACGUGCCAACAGCCGCGGUAAGACGUAGGGCGCGAGCGUUGUCCGGAUUUAUUGGGCGUAAAGAGCUCGUAGGCGGCUUGUUGCGUCAGCUGUGAAAACCCGCAGCUCAACUGUGGGCUUGCAGCUGAUACGGGCAGGCUUGAGUUCGGUAGGGGAGACUGGAAUUCCUGGUGUAGCGGUGAAAUG